CCUACGGGAGGCAGCAGUGAGGAAUAUUGGACAAUGGGCGCAAGCCUGAUCCAGCCAUGCCGCGUGCAGGAUGACGGUCCUAUGGAUUGUAAACUGCUUUUAUACGAGAAGAAACACUACUUCGUGAAGUAGCUUGACGGUAUCGUAAGAAUAAGGAUCGGCUAACUCCGUGCCAGCAGCCGCGGUAAUACGGAGGAUCCAAGCGUUAUCCGGAAUCAUUGGGUUUAAAGGGUCCGUAGGCGGUUUAAUAAGUCAGUGGUGAAAGCCCAUCGCUCAACGGUGGAACGGCCAUUGAUACUGUUAGACUUGAAUUAUUAGGAAGUAACUAGAAUAUGUAGUGUAGCGGUGAAAUGCUUAGAGAUUACAUGGAAUACCAAUUGCGAAGGCAGGUUACUACUAAUUGAUUGACGCUGAUGGACGAAAGCGUGGGUAGCGAACAGGAUUAGAUACCCUGGUAGUCCACGCCGUAAACGAUGGAUACUAGCUGUUGGGAGCAAUCUCAGUGGCUAAGCGAAAGUGAUAAGUAUCCCACCUGGGGAAGUACGUUCGCAAGAAUUGAAACUUAAAUUGAAUUGACGGCUUGAGAGNGCGAGACGACGACGAGGAGGAGG
rnacentral:rRNA from 1 species